rnacentral:lncRNA from 1 species
UUGGAAGGAGUCAGGACUUUGGAGACAUAAUAUACUGGCCGCUGAACCUUGUAUGCUUUGCCUUCUUCUUCGCGUUCGACUGUGAGAACGGUGCUGACGACUUGAUUUGUAGCCGCGAUGUACAUAAGAAGGGGUUCUUUACUGAGCGGGGCAGUAAGAACCGGCUGGGUGGAGAGCAGGGCUUUGAGGUUGUCGAAUGCAAUUUGGGAUUCGUCUAUCCACUCGAAAGUAUCUGAUUUCUUCAUGAGUCGGUACAUAGGUAGCGCCUUCUCGCCGAGUCGACUGAUAAACCUGCUCAAAGCCGCUAGGCAACCUGUGAGCCUUUGAACAUCAUGUAUUCUGACUGGCCGCUCCAUUCGGACGAUGGUCCCGAUCUUUUCGGGGUUGACAUCAAUUCCUCGUUCGGAAACGAAGAAACCGAGUAACUUUCCGCUGGGAACACCGAAUGAACACUUGGCAGGGUUGAGCUUGAUAGCAUACCUACGAAGGUUGGCGAAUGUUUCUGCCAAGUCAGUCAGCAGGUCGAAACCUUUGCGUGACUUGACUACGAUAUCAUCCAUAUACGCCUCCACAUUUCGACUGAUCUGGUCAAGGAGGCAUUUUUGGAUCAUGCGCAUAAAAGUUGCUCCUGCAUUCUUCAAACCGAAUGGCAUAGUGAUGUAGCAGAAGCACCCGAAUGGGGUGAUGAAGGCUGUUUUUAAUUCAUCGGGACCAUACAGACGAAUCUGAUGAUAGCCCGAGUAAGCAUCAAGGAAUGACAAAUGCUCGCAACCCGCAGUCGAAUCAACAAUUUGAUCAAUGCGGGGGAGCGGGAAAUGGUCUUUCGGGCAGACCUUAUUGAGAUGCUUGAAGUCGAUGCACAUUCGGAGAGACUUGUCCUUCUUGGGCACCAUGACAACAUUGGCGAGCCACUCGGAGUGGUGUACCUCGCGAAUGAAGUUGGCUACCAAAAGUUUAGCCACCUCCUCUCCGAUUGCCUUCCUCUUGUGCGCGGCGGACCGACGCAGGCGUUCUCGGACGGGCCGGGCAGCAGGAUCCACAUGCAGUCGGUGCUCAGCCAACUCCCUGGGUACACCUGGCAUGUCAGCGGGCUUCCAUGCGAAAAUGUCCCAGUUCUCACGGAGGAAUUGGAUGAGCUCGGCUUCCUAUUUUGGAUCGAGGGUGGCGGAGAUGUUCGUCGGGGCAGCGGUGUCGUCCGUCGGGUGGAUGCUGACCUUUUUCGUGUCUCCCGCCGACUGGAAUGCGGACGCCGAAGCUGGCUUUUUCAAACGCAUCAAGUCAGCGGGGUCGGCUGUCUUCUUGUACUCGUCCAGCUCGAGGAUAGCCAUCUGCUGAUCGGCGAUCCUCGACCCCUGCUGCAGACACUCCUCGGCCCACUGCCGAUUGCCUGUGACAGUGAUCACACCUUUGGGACCCGACAUCUUCAGCUUCAGAUACACGUAACAUGGACGGGCCAUGAAACGCGCAUACGCCGGAUGGCCCAGAAUCGCAUGGUAUGCACUCUGGAAGUCCACCACCUCGAAUGUCAGCUUUUCCUUGCGGAAGUUCUUGUCGGAGCCGAAAACGACAUCCAACGCGAUCUGGCCGAGUGACUUGGCCUUUCGUCCAAGGACGACUCCGUGGAACUGCAUGCUGCUCUCGCUAAGUUUGGACAUCGGAAUGCCCAUCCCCUUGAGAGUGUCGGCGUACAUGAUGUUCAAGCCGCUGCCGCCGUCCAUGAGGACUUUGCGCAGUCGGACUCCUUCCACCACUGGGUCGAUGACCAGAGCCUGCCUCCCUGGGGUGGGCACGUGUGCUGGAUGAUCCGACUGGUCAAAGGUGAUCGCAGUCUGAGACCAUUUGAGGAACGUGGGGUUGGUUGGGGUAGCCAUGUUCACCUCCGUGUUCACCAGCUUCAGUCGACUCUUGCUUUCCACGUCAGCAAAAAUCAUCAGUGUUGCAUGGACUUGGGGGAACGGAUCCUCCUUGUCCUCAUCAUCCUAUUCAUUGUCCUUUUCACUCGGCUGCCCUUCGCCGAACAUUUGGAUCAGGAGGCGACAUUGCCGAGUGGUGUGCGUCGGGAAUACGGCGUUGCCUUCUUCGUCCAUCUUCGUGUGGAUUGGACAUGGCUGAUCCGGGAUGGAGUUUCCGAACUGCUUCUUCUUGGGGGUGAACUGAGCUUUCCCCUUGCCCUUGAACUUGGCAUAGGUAACGGCUGCUGCCUCUGCCUGCGGAGUGGACGGAGCUUUCUGCUUCUGCUUCCGAGUGUUGUUCCCAUCUCCAUCGGCGACUGCUUUAUGCUUGCCGCUACGUAUGCGGUCCUCUUCUUCGCCAUUUGCAUAGCGUGCGGCUAUCUCCAUCGUCUUGCUCAUGGAUGUCGCCUGUCCGACCGAACUUCAGGUACAGAUCUCUGUACCGCACGCGUGCCUUGAAGGUGCAGACUGCUUGGUGCUCUGUGGCGUUCUCCACUGUGUGGUAGAGGGUCGUCCAACGCUGGAUGAAAUCGCGCAGGGGCUCAUUCUGCUUCUGGACACAGUGCUGGAGCUCCACGAGACCAGCAGGGCGUUUGCACGUGCCCUCGAAGGUCCUGAUGAAGACUCGGGCCAGAUCUGCCCAGCUGUAGAUGCUUGAAGGAGCCAACUGGUUCAGCCACGCUCGUGCCGACCCGUCGAGCAUCAGGGGGAGAUGUUUCAUGGUGACCUGGUCAUCUCCGCCACCGAUCUGGACCGCCACUCGGUAGUCGUCCAGCCACGUUUCUGGCUUGGAUUCUCCUGUAAACUUGCUGAUCCCCGUCGCCAAUCGGAAGUUGGGAGGGAUGUCAGCUGAACGGAUGGCCCGACUGAAGCACUUGGGGCCAGAGACGAUGGUCCUGCUUCCACUCGUACGGUCUCUGUCGUGACCAUCAUGGUCAGCUCGACUCCUGUCGACCUUCCUCUAGGCGAUGUACCCUCUUGCGUCGGGCCUUGGAUCAUAUGUGUCACCGACUGAAUGCCGAUCAUCAUGAUGUCGGGGCCCGUAAGGCCCACCUCGCGGAGGAGUGCGUGAACGACGACGAUCUUCGGGAUUCAUGGAACGGCUGCCUCCUCUACGUCGCUGAUGAGAAUCGGGGCUGUAAACCGACCGAUGCGUGUUCGCGUGAACAGAACUGUUGUGGAUCCUGUUGUGUGACUGGGAGACCGCCGAAUUCUGUUGCUGCACCGUGUGCAACAAGGCACGGAUCUGCUCGAUCCCUCUACCAGCCUCUGAAUCAGUCGGUUGGAGGGAAUCGACUAUCUUGGCAGCGGCAGCCAGGUUGAGGACGGGUGUGCGGAACACCUCCACGUUGCUCUGAUGAGUGCGUCGACUGGCAAAACGACGGGGUUGACAGCGAGCGCCGGAUGACUCGCCGACCUCGUGCUCGUUCCGACCAGUCUGGCGAGGACUUUCAUGGGAAUUGGCCAUGAGAACCUCGACUGUGGGCCCGCGACCCAAGUACUUGGAAGGAAACUCAGUCGGAACUGAGUCCAAGCACUGGGACGGCGGCGCGACCACAACCGACUCGAGGACCGCCACUUGAGAGGACGCGUUCUGGCGCGCCUGGGCGUGUCGCUGUUGGGGAACGUCGCAUGGGAAACAAAAUUUUUCCUACGCGCAUGAAGACCUAUCAUGGUGAUGUCCAUCUACGAGAGGGGAUGAGUGAUCUACGUACCCUUGUAGAUCGUACAGCAGAAGCGUUAUUGAACGCGGUUGAUGCAGUGGAACGUCCUCACGUCCCUCGAUCCGCCCCGCGAACAAUCCCGCGAUCAGUCCCACGAUCUAGUACCGAACGGACGGCACCUCCGCGUUCAGCACACGUACAGCUCGACGAUGAUCUUGGCCUUCUUGAUCCAGCAAGAGAGACGGAGAGGUAGAAGAGUUCUCCGGCAGCGUGACGGCGCUCCGGAGGUUGGUGAUGACCUUGUCUCAGCAGGGCUCCGCCCGAGCUCUGCAGAAACGCGAUCUAGAGGAAAAACCGUGGAGGUAUGUGGUCGGGUUGCCGUGGAAAAGUCGUCUCAAAUCAGCCCUAAAACCUCCGUAUAUAUAGGUGGGAGGGAGGGUACCUUGCCUUGGGGCUCAAGGAGCCCCAAGGGGGUCGGCCGAGUCCAAGGGGGAAGGCUCCCCCCCCCAAACCGAGUUGGACUUGGUUUGGUGGGUGGGAGUCCUUCCUUCCCUUCCCACCUCCUCUUUUUUUUCUCUUUGAUUUUCUUUCCUAGGCGCAUAGGGCCCUUUUGGGCUGUCCCACCAGCCCACUAAGGGCUGGUGUGCCACCCUCAAGGCCUAUGGGCUUCCCCGGGGUGGGUUGCCCCCCGGUGAACUCCCGGAACCCAUUCGUCAUUCCCGGUACAUUCCCGGUAACUCCGAAAACCUUCCGGUAAUCAAAUGAGGUCAUCCUAUAUAUCAAUCUUCGUUUCCGGACCAUUCCGGAAACCCUCGUGACGUCCGUGAUCUCAUCCGGGACUCCGAACAACAUUCGGUAACCAACCAUAUAACUCAAAUACGCAUAAAACAACGUCGAACCUUAAGUGUGCAGACCCUGCGGGUUCGAGAACUAUGUAGACAUGACCCGAGAGACUCCUCGGUCAAUAUCCAAUAGCGGGACCUGGAUGCCCAUGUUGGAUCCUACAUAUUCUACGAAGAUCUUAUCGUUUGAACCUCAGUGCCAAGGAUUCAUAUAAUCCCGUAUGUCAUUCCCUUUGUCCUUCGGUAUGUUACUUGCCCGAGAUUCGAUCGUCAGUAUCCGCAUACCUAUUUCAAUCUCGUUCACCGGCAAGUCUCUUUACUCGUUCCGUAAUACAAGAUCCCGCAACUUUCACUAAGUCACAUUGCUUGCAAGGCUUGUGUGUGAUGUUGUAUUACCGAGUGGGCCCCGAGAUACCUCUCCGUCACACGGAGUGACAAAUCCCAGUCUUGAUCCAUACUAACUCAACUAACACCUUCGGAGAUACCUGUAGAGCAUCUUUAUAGUCACCCAGUUACGUUGCGAUGUUUGAUACACACAAAGCAUUCCUCCGGUGUCAGUGAGUUAUAUGAUCUCACGGUCAUAGGAAUAAAUACUUGACACGCAGAAAAACAGUAGCAACAAAAUGACACGAUCAACAUGCUACGUCUAUUAGUUUGGGUCUAGUCCAUCACGUGAUUCUCCUAAUGACGUGAUCCAGUUAUCAAGCAACAACACUUUGUUCAUAAUCAGAAGACACUAACUAUCUUUGAUCAACUAGCUAGCCAACUAGAGGCUUGCUAGGGACGGUUUUUUGUCUAUGUAUCCACACAUGUAAACGAGUCUUCAUUCAAUACAAUUAUAGCAUGGAUAAUAAACGAUUAUCUUGAUACAGGAAUUAUAAUAAUAACUAUAUUUAUUAUUGCCUCUAGGGCAUAAUUCCAACAGUCUCCCACUUGCACUAGAGUCAAUAAUCUAGCCCUCACAUCAUCAUGUGAAUUACAUUGUAAUAAAUCUAACACCCAGCAAGUCAAAGCAAGAAUACUUCCGACCCUCCUGCAACCAAUGAAACUGAAGAGCUGCCUUGCAUCGGGGGCACGAGAACCUUCCAUGCACACACCAUGCAGAGAAUAGCACAUACGCUGGCAAGUCAUGCAUAGAGUACAUGUACCACAGAUGCAUUUUGAAGUUUUCUUUUCUAGAGGCAUCGUAUGUCUUGACCCCAUUAUCCCAAGUUUCUUCCAAUUCAUCCUUAAGCGGUUGUAGGUACACAUUCAUAUUCUUCCCCGGAUAAUUGGGCCCUGGAAUUAUCAACGUCAGAAAUAUGUUCUUUCUUUGCAUAAUUUGCCCGGGGGGAGAUUGAGUGGAAUGACAAAUACAGGCCAACAACUGUAUUGGGUUGUCGUCAUGCCGAAGGGAUUAAAACCAUCCAUGGCGGCCCAGACUCGAGGAUUCCUUGGAUCUGCCGCUUUAUCCUGAUGCAAUCCAUCGAAAUGUUUCCACGCUUCCCCAUCCGAUGUGUGUACCAUCAUCUUAUUCCCAUCCGCAUCUAGCUCGGUUCUUUUUCCCAAUUUGUGCCAUGUCAUCUGUCUGGCUGUCUCUUCGACCAUGAAAAGACGUUGAAGUCUUGGUACGAUUGGCAUAUACCGAAGAACACUAACUGUGAUUUUGGUCUGCCUCUUCUCACCCAUACCGUUGUCUACCACAAGAUACCUGCAAGACUCGCAAUUGGGACAAUAGUCCAAGUGUGCAUACUCCUUCCUAAAUAAGACACAUCCUUUCUCACAUGCAUCUAUCUUCUCAUAGGGCAUCUUAAGUACACGAAGUAUUUUGUCCGACUGGUACAGGUUUGCAGGCAUGACAUGGCCUUUGGGUAGGAAACGUCCAAAUAGUGUCAUCAUCGCGUCGUAGCAUUCUCUUCCCAAGUUGAACUGAGCCUUCAGAGCCAUUACUUGUGCAAUUGCAUCCAGCUGACAGAGCUCAGUGUGCUCAUGGAGAGGACGUUUUGAAGACUCCAACAUUUCAUAAAAGGCCUUUACAGAUUCCUCCAUCUCAUCUUCCGAAUCCCGAGCAUCAUCAAAGUCUUGCACCAUGUCUUCAAUCCCGGUACCAUCACUAGUGGAAAACGGGCCUUUGGCCGGGACCCUUUAGUCCCGGCCUGCCUCUGGGCCGGGACUAAAGGCCCGGCCACGUCGCCCCAAAUCGCAAUGCCUCCCUCGAGGCUUUAGUCCUGGCCCGUAAGGAGCCUUUAGUCCCGGUUUGUGUCCCAAACCGGGACUAAAGGGCUACGCGGGGUGCAGCCCGCAUGUGCGCCACCUUUAGUCCCGGUUUGUGUCUUAAACAGGGACUAAAGUCCUUUGCCUAUAUAUAGCACAACCCCCCUCUCCCCUCUUCCUUGCGUUUUUCUUGGAUGGAAUAGUGUGGGUGUGUGCUAGCUCUCCAUUUUUUUCAUGCACUAGAGGUGUUUGUUGAAAUGUGUGUUAGAGCGAUGCCGCUUCAGUUCACCGAACACAACUACGAUAUGAGAUGCCUGAGCCACGCUUAAACCUCUUCCUCUUUAUUUCUACUUAUUCUAAAAGGUUAGCAACUAUAUUUCCUCGUUUAGACCGUUCGGUACUAAUUUUUAGGAUUGUGAUUGUAUUUGAUAUACUGUCGUAUAACGCAGAUGAGCCAUCCAUGAAUGUACGGUGAUCGACGCACAACCGCUUACAGAGAAGGCGUGCAUUCUUUUCGAGAUGCAGCCGAUGCGAACAAGCAUGGUGGUGGCUUUAUGUUUUGUCCAUGUGUUGAAUGUCGGAAUGAGAAGGAUUACACUUCCUCAAGAGUCAUUCAGAGCCACCUACUUCGGUCCGGUUUUAUGUCGGGCUAUAAUGUUUGGACCAAGCACGGAGAAAGAGGGGUUAUGAUGGAAGACGAUGAUGAAGAAGAAGAGAACGAUGAUGACAACUACCAAUCUAUGUUCCCUGAGUAUGCUGAUACCGCAAUGGAAGACAAUGAAGAAGAAGAUCAGGAUGAAGAACGGGAACCAGAUGAGCCUGCUGAUGAUCUUGGCCGGGUCAUUUCUGAUGCACGGCGAGGUUGCGACACAGAAAAGGAGAGGUUGCAGUUCGAGCAGAUGUUACAGGACCACAACAAAUUGUUGUACCCAACUUGUGAAGAUGGCCAGAAGAAGCUGGGUAGCACACUGGAAUUGCUGAAGUGGAAGGCAGAGACCGGUGUGACUGACUCGUCAUUCGAGAAGUUGCUGGUACUGAUGAAGAAGAUGCUUCCAAGAAAGAACGAAUUGCCCGCCAGCACGUACGAAGCAAAGAAGCUUGUCUUGUUCGAAAUAUGCCCUAGAGGCAAUAAUAAAUUAGUUAUUAUUAUAUUUCUUAGUUCAUGAUAGUCGUUUAUUAUCCAUGCUAUAAUUGUAUUGAUUGGAAACACAAUACUUGUGUGGAUACAUAGACAAAACACUGUACCUAUCAAGCCUCUAGUUGGCUAGCCAGUUGAUCAAAGAUAGUCAGGGUCUUCUGAUUAUGAACAAGGUGUUGUUGCUUGAUAACUGGAUCACGUCAUUAGGAGAAUCACGUGAUGGACUAGACCCAAACUAAUAGACGUAGCAUGUUGAUCGUGUCAUUUGGUUGCUACUGUUUUCUGCGUGUCAAGUAUUUGUUCCUAUGACCAUGAGAUCAUAUAACUCACUGACACCGGAGGAAUGCUUUGUGUGUAUCAAAUGUCGCAACGUAACUGGGUGACUAUAAAGAUGCUCUACAGGUAUCUCUGAAGGUGUUCGUUGAGUUAGUAUGGAUCGAGACUGGGAUUUGUCACUCCGUGUGACGGAGAGGUAUCUCGGGGCCCACUCGGUAAUACAACAUCACACACAAGCCUUGCAAGCAAUGUGACUUAGUGUAAGUUGCGGGAUCUUGUAUUACGGAACGAGUAAAUAGACUUGCCGAUAAACGAUAUUGAAAUAGGUAUGCGGAUACUGACGAUCGAAUCUCGGGCAAGUAACAUACCGAAGGACAAAGGGAUUGACAUAUGGGAUUAUAUGAAUCCUUGGCACUGAGGUUCAAACGAUAAGAUCUUCGUAGAAUAUGUAGGAUCCAAUAUGGGCAUCCAGGUCCCGCUAUUGGAUAUUGACCGAGGAGUCACUCGGGUCAUGUAUACAUAGUUCUCGAACCCGCAGGGUCUGCACACUUAAGGUUCGACGUUGUUUUAUGCAUAUUUGAGUUAUAUGGUUGGUUACCGAAUGUUGUUCGGAGUCCCGGAUGAGAUCACGGACGUCACGAGGGUUUCCAGAAUGGUCCGGAAACGAAGAUUGAUAUAUAGGAUGACCUCAUUUGAUUACCGGAAGGUUUUCGGAGUUACCGGGAAUGUACCGGGAAUGACGAAUGGGUUCCGGGUGUUCACCGGGGGGGGGGGCAACCCACCCCGGGGAAGCCCAUAGGCCUUGGGGGUGGUGCACCAGCCCUUAGUGGGCUGGUGGGACAGCCCAAGAAGGCCCUAUGCGCCAUAGGAAGAAAAUCGAAGAGAAAAAAAAGAGGAGGUGGGAAAAGGGGGAAGGACUCCUCCUUCCAAACCUAGCUGGAUUCGGUUUGGAAGGGGAGGACUCCCCCCCUUGGCUCGGCCGAACCCCUUGGGGGUCCUUGGACCCCAAGGCAAGGCUCCCCCUCUUCCCCCUCUAUAUACGGAGGUUUUAGGGCUGAUUUGAGAUAACUUUUGCCACGACAGUCCGACCACAUACCUCCACGGAUUUUCCCUCUAGAUCGCGUUUCUGCGGAGCUCGGGCGGAGCCCUGCUGAGAUUAGAUCACCACCAACCUCCGGAGCAACGUCACGCUGCCGGAGAACUCAUCUACCUCUCUGUCUCUCUUGCUGGAUCAAGAAGGCCGAGAUCAUCGUCGAGCUGUACGUGUGCUGAACGCGGAGGUGCCGUCCGUUCGGCACUAGAUCGUGGGACUGAUCGCGGGACGGUUCGCGGGGCAGAUCGAGGGAUGUGAGGACGUUCCACUACAUCAACCGCGUUUCUUAACGCUUCUGCUGUGUGAUCUACAAGGGUACGUAGAUCGAAUAUCCCCUCUCGUAGAUGGACAUCACCAUGAUAGGUCUUCGUGCGCGUAGGAAAUUUUUUGUUUCCCAUGCGACGUUCCCCAACAGUGGCAUCAUGAGCUAGGUUCAUGCGUAGAUGUCUUCUCGAGUAGAACACAAAAGUUUUUGUGGGCGGUGAUGUGCGCUUUGCUGCCCUCCUUAGUUUUUUCUUGAUUCCGCGGUAUUGUUGGAUUGAAGCGGCUUGGACCGACAUUACUCGUACGCUUACGAGAACCUGGUUUCAUCGCUACGAGUAACCCCGUUGCUCAAAGAUGACUGGCAAGUGUCAGUUUCUCCAACUUUAGUUGAAUCGGAUUUGACCGAGGAGGUCCUUGUAUAAGGUUAAAUAGCAAUUCAUAUAUCUCCGUUGUGGUGUUUGCGUAAGUAAGAUGCGAUCCUACUAGAUACCCAUGGUCACCACGUAAAACAUGCAACAACAAAAUUAGAGGACGUCUAACUUGUUUUUGCAGGGUAUGCUUGUGAUGUGAUAUGGCCAACGAUGUGAUGUGAUAUAUUGGAUGUAUGAGAUGAUCAUGUUGUAAUAGAAAAUAUCGACUUGCACGUCGAUGGUACGGCAACCGGCAGGAGCCAUAGGGUUGUCUUUAAACUAACGUUUGUGCUUGCAGAUGCGUUUACUAUUUUGCUAGGAUGUAGCUUUAGUAGUAAUAGCAUGAGUAGCACGACAAUCCCGAUGGCGACACGUUGAUGGAGAUCAUGGUGUGGCGCCGGUGACAAGAAGAUCGUGCCGGUGCUUUGGUGAUGGAGAUCAAGGAGCACGUGAUGAUGGCCAUAUCAUGUCACUUAUGAAGUGCAUGUGAUGUUAAUCCUUUUAUGCACCUUAUUUUGCUUAGAACGACGGUAGCAUUAUGAGGUGAUCUCUCACUAAAAUUUCAAGAUGAAAUUGUGUUCUCCCCAACUAUGCACCAUUGCUACAGUUCUUCGUUUCGAGACACCACGUGAUGAUCGGGUGUGAUAGACUCCACGUUCACAUACAACGGGUGCAAAACAGUUGCACACGCGGAACACUCGGGUUAAGCUUGACGAGCCUAGCAUGUGCAGACAUGGCCUCGGAACACAUGAGACCGAAAGGUCGAGCAUGAAUCGUAUAGUUGAUAUGAUUAGCAUAGAGAUGCUUACCACUGAAACUAUUCUCGACUCACGUGAUGAUCGGACUUGAGAUAGUGGAUUUGGAUCAUGUACCACUCAAAUGACUAGAGAGAUGUACUUUUUGAGUGGGAGUUCUUAAGUAAUAUGAUUAAUUGAACUAAUUGUCAUGAACAUAGUCUAAUGGUCUUUGCGAAUUACGAUGUAGCUUGCGCUAUAGCUCUACUGUUUUUAUAUGUUCCUAGAGAAAAUUUAGUUGAAAGUUGAUAGUAGCAAACUUUGCAGACCGAGUCUAUAAAACCGAGGAUUGUCCUCGUUGCUGCGUAGAAGGCUUAUGUCCUUAAUGCACCACUCGGUGUGCUGCACCUCGAGCGUCGUCUGUAGAUGUUGUGAACAUGCGACAUACACGUUUCUGAUGACUACACGAUAGUUCAGUGCAAAAUACUUAACUGCUUAGAAGCAAGGCGCCGAAAACGUUUUGAAACGUCACGGAACAUAAGUGAUGUUCUAAAGAGAUGAAAUUGUGAUUUCAUGCUUGUGCCCUUGUUAAGAGGUACGAGUCCUCCGACAAGAUUCUUUGUCCACAAAGUAAAGGAGAAAAGCUCAAUUGUUGAGCGUGUGCUCAGAUUGUGUGAGUACGACAAUCGCUUGAAUCAAGUGGGAGUUAAUCUUCCAGAUGAGAUAGUGAUAGUUCUCCAAAGUCACUGCCAUCAAGCUGUGAGAGCUUCGUGAUGAACUAUAAUAUAUCAAGGAUAGAUACAAUGAUCUUUGAGUGAUUCGCGAUGUUUGACACUACGAAAGUAGAAAUCAAGAAGGAGCAUCAAUAGUUGAUGGUUAGUAAAACCACUAAGUUUCGAGAAAGGCAAGGGCUAGAAGGGAUACUUCGUGAAACGGCAAAACAGUUGCUGCACUAAUGAAGAGACCCAAGAUUAAACCCAAACCCGAGACUAAGUGCUUCUGUAAUGAGGGGAACAGUCACUGAGGUGGAUCAACUCUAGAUACUUGGUAGAUAAGAAGGAUGGCAAAAGUCGAAUGAAGUAUAUUUGAUAUACAUAAUGUUGAUGUGUACUUUACUAGUGCUCCUAGUAGCAUGAGGGUAUUGGAUACCGGUUCGGUUGCUAAGUGAUUAGUAACAUGAAAUGAAAGCUACGGCAUAAACGGAGACUAGCUAAAGGCGAGGUGACAAUACGUGUUGGAAGUGUUUCCAAGGUUGAUAUGAUCAAACGUCGCACGCUCCCUUUACCAUCGGGAUUGGUGUUAAACCUAAAUAAUUGUUAUUUGGUGCUUGCGUUAAGCAUGAACAUGAUUGGAUCGUGUUUAUUGCAAUACAAUUAUUCAUUUAAAGAGAAUAAUGGUUACUCUAUUUUUCUUGAAUAAUCACCUUCAAUGGUUUAUUGAAACUCGAUCGUAGUGUUACACAUGUUCAUGAUAUUGGUGCCAAAAGAUACGAGGUAAUGAUGAUAGUACCACUUACUUGUGGCACUGCCGCUUGAGUCAUGGUGGUAUAAAUUGCAUGAAGAGGCUCCAUGCCGAUGGAUCUUUAUACUCACUUGAUUUUGAAUCACUAGUGACAUGCAAAUCAUACCACAUGAGCAAGGCCUUGUUUUCAUUGAGAUGAAACAAGAUAGUAACUUGUUGGAAGUGAUACAUUUUGAUGUAUGCAAUCCAAUGGGUGCUGAGGCACGCAGUGGAUAUCAUUAUGUUCUUACUUCAAUGACGAUUUGAGUAGAUACAAGAGUAUUUACUUAAUGAAUCACAAGUCUGAAAUAUUGAAAAGUUCAAUUCUGUUUCAGAGUAAAGUUCGUCGUAACAAGAGGAUAAACUAUCUACGAUAUGAUCAUAGAAAUGAAUAUCUGAGUUACGAGUUUUGGUACGCAGUUAAGACAAUGUGGAAAUUGUUUCGCAAUUCAUGCCACCUGGAACAUCAUAGUGUGAUGAUGUGUCUGAAUGUCAUAGCCACGCACUAUUUGGUAUGGUGCAUGCUAUGAUGUCUCUUAUCGAAUUACCACUAUCGUUUAUGGGUUAUGCAUUAGAGACAACCGCAUUCACUUUAAAUAGGGCACCACGUAUUUCCGUUGAGAUGACACAGUAUAGACUGAGGUUUAGAGAAAUCUAAACUGUCAUUUCUUAAAAGUUUGGGGUUUUGACACUUAUGUGAAAAAGUUUCAGUCUGAUAAGCUCGAACCCAAAGCGGAUAAAUGCAUCUUCAUAGGAUAUCCAAAACAGUUGGGUACAUCUCCUAUCUCAGAUCCGAAAGCAAAAUGUUUGUUUCUAGAAACGGAUCCUUUCUCGAGGAAAGGUUUCUCUCGAAAGAAUUGAGUGGGAGGGUGGUAGAACUUGAUGAGGUUAUUGAACCAUCACUUCAACCAGUGUGUAGCAGGGCGCAGGAAGUUGUUCUUGUGGCGCCUACACCAAUUGAAGUGAAAGUUGAUGAUGGUGAUCAUCGUGCAUCGGAUCAAGUUACUACAAGCCUCGUAGGUUGACAAGGUCGCGUACUACUGCAGAGUGGUACGGUAACCCUGUCUUGGAGGUCAUGUUGUUGAGCAACAGUGAACCUACGAGUUAUGGAGAAAGCAAUGGUGGGCCCGGAUUCCGACAAAUGGCUAGAAGCCAUGAAAUCCGAGAGAGGAUCCAUGUAUGAAAACAAAGUGUAGACUUUGGAAGAGCUACUUGAUGGUCAUAGGACUAUUGAGUAAAGAUGGAUCUUUAAAAGGAAGACAGACGAUGAUGGUGAUAAGUCACUAUUAAGAAAAGCUCGACUUGUCGCAAAGAUGUUUCCGACAAGAUCAAACAAUUGACUAUGAUGAGACUUUCUCACUCGUAGCGAUGCUAAAAGUCUGUUAGAAUUAUGUUAGUAGUUGCUGCAUUAUUUAUGAAAUAUUGCACGUAGGAUGUCAAAACAUUGUUUCCUCGACGGUUUCCUUGAGCAAACAUUGUAUGUGAUACAACCAGGAGGUUUUGUCGAUCCUAAAGAUACUAGCAAGUAUGCAAGCUCCAGUGAUCCUUCAAUGGACUGGUGCAAGCAUCUCGGAGUUGGAAUAUACACUUUGAUGAGAUGAUCAAAGAUUUUGGGUUUGUACAAGGUUUAUGAGAAACUUGUAUUUCCAAAUAAGUGAGUGGGAGCACUAUAGAAUUUCUGAUAAGUAUAUGUGGUUGACAUAUUGUGGAUCAGAUGUAAUGUAGAAUUUCUGUAAAGCAUACAAGGUUGUUUGAAAGGAGUUUUUCAAAGGAGUACCUGGAUUGUGCUACUUGUACGUUGAGCAUCAAAGAUCCAUGGAAAUAGAUCGAAAGCGCUUAAUGGAAGUUUCAACAAGAUGCAUGCCUUGACAAGUUUUUGAAGGAGUUCAAAAUAGAUCAACAAAGAAGGAGUUCUUGGUUGCGUUGUGAGGUGUGAAUUUGAGUAAGACUCAAAACCCGACCACGGCAGAAUAAAGAGAAUAGACGAAGGUCGUCUUCUAUGCCUUAGCCGUAGACUCUAAAGUAUGCCAUGCUGAGUACCGCACCUGAUGUGUGCCUUGCAGCAAGUCUGUUAAGAGGUACACAGAGUGAUCCAGGAUUGAAUCACUGAUCAGCGGUCAAAGUUAUCCUUAGUAACUAAAUAGACUAAGGAAUUUUUCUCGAUUAUGGAGGUGGUUAAAGAGUUCGUCGUAAAGGGUUAUGUCGAUGCAAGCUUUGACACUAAUCCGAAUAACUAUGAGUAGUGAAACGGAUUCGUAUAGUAGAGUAGAUAUUUGGAGUAUUUCCGAAUAACACCUAGUAGCAACACCUAUAAGAUGACAUAAAGAUUUGUAAAGAACACACGGAUCUGAAAGUUUCAGAACCGUUGACUAAAACCUCUCUCACGAGCAAGACGUGAUCAGACCCCAUAACUAUAUGGGUGUUGGAUUCGUUGGAAUCACAUGGUGAUGUGAACUAGAUUAUUGACUCUAGUGCAAGUGGGAGACUGUUGGAAAUAUGCCCUAGAGGCAAUAAUAAAUUAUUUAUUAUUAUAUUUCUUAGUUCAUGAUAAUCGUUUAUUAUCCAUAUGCUAUAAUUGUAUUGAUUGGAAACACAAUACUUGUGUGGAUACAUAGACAAAACACUGUCCCUAGUAAGCCUCUAGUUGACUAGCUCGUUGAUCAAAGAUGGUCAAGGUUUCCUGACCAUAGGCAAGUGUUGUCACUUGAUAACGGGAUCACAUCAUCAGGAGAAUCAUGUGAUGGACUAGACCCAAACUAAUAGACGUAGCAUGUUGAUCGUGUCAUUUUGUUGCUACUGUUUUCUGCGUGUCAAGUAUUUGUUCCUAUGACCAUGAGAUCAUAUAACUCACUGACACCGGAGGAAUGCUUUGUGUGUAUCAAACGUCGCAACGUAACUGGGUGACUAUAAAGAUGCUCUACAGGUAUAUCUGAAGGUGUUCGUUGAGUUAGUAUGGAUCGAGACUGGGAUUUGUCACUCCGUGUGACGGAGAGGUAUCUCGGGGCCCACUCGGUAAUACAACAUCACACACAAGCCUUGCAAGCAAUGUGACUUAGUGUAAGUCACGGGAUCUUGUAUUACGGAACGAGUAAAGAGACUUGCCUGUAAACGAGAUUGAAAUAGGUAUGCGGAUACUGACGAUCGAAUCUCGGGCAAGUAACAUACCGAAGGACAAAGGGAAUGACAUACGGGAUUAUAUGAAUCCUUGGCACCGAGGUUCAAACGAUAAGAUCUUCGUAGAAUAUGUAGGAUCCAAUAUGGGCAUCCAGGUCCCGCUAUUGGAUAUUGACCGAGGAGUCACUCGGGUCAUGUCUACAUAGUUCUCGAACCCGCAGGGUCUGCACACUUAAGGUUCGACGUUGUUUUAUGCAUAUUUGAGUUAUAUGGUUGGUUACCGAAUGUUGUUCGGAGUCCCGGAUGAGAUCAUGGACGUCACGAGGGUUUCCGGAAUGGUCCCGAAACGAAGAUUGAUAUAUAGGAUGACCUCAUUUGAUUACCGGAAGGUUUUCGGAGUUACCGGGAAUGUACCGGGAAUGACGAAUGGGUUCCGGGUGUUCACCGGGGGGCAACCCACCCUGGGGAAGCCCAUAGGCCUUGGGGGUGGUGCACCAGCCCUUAGUGGGCUGGUGGGACAGCCCAAGAAGGCCCUAUGCACCAUAGGAAGAAAAUCAAAGAGAAAAGAAAAAAAGAGGAGGUGGGAAAAGGGGGAAGGACUCCUCCUUCCAAACCUAGUUGGAUUCGGUUUGGAAGGGGAGGACUCCCCCCUUGGCUCGUCCGAACCCCUUGGGGGUCCUUGGAACCCAAGGCAAGGCUCCCCCUCUUCCCCCGAUAUAUACGGAGGUUUUAGGGCUGAUUUGAGAUAACUUUUGCCACGGCAGCCCGACCACAUACCUCCACGGUUUUUCCUCUAGAUCGCGUUUCUGCGGAGCUCGGGCGGAGCCCUGCUGAGAUUAGAUCACCACCAACCUCCGGAGCGCCGUCACGCUGCCGGAGAACUCAUCUACCUCUCUGUCUCUCUUGCUGGAUCAAGAAGGCCGAGAUCAUCGUCGAGCUGUACGUGUGCUGAACGCGGAGGUGCCGUCCGUUCGGCACUAGAUCGUGGGACUGAUCGCGGGACGGUUCGCGGGGCGGAUCGAGGGACAUGAGGACGUUCCACUACACCAACCGCGUUUCUUAACGCUUCUGCUGUGCGAUCUACAAGGGUACGUAGAUCGAAUAUACCCUCUCGUAGAUGGACAUCACCAUGAUAGGUCUUCGUGCGCGUAGGAAAUUUUUUGUUUCCGAUGCGACGUUCCCCAACAUGUCUGCCCUCUAGGAUUAGACGUGCAGAAGAUACAUGCAUUCCCUAAUGACUGCAUCCUCUACCGCGGUGAGAAGUACGAGAAUAUGGAUAAAUGCCCGGUAUGCAGUGCAUUGUGGUAUAAGAUCAGAAAAGAUGACCCUGGUGAUAUUGAGGGCGAGCCACCCAGGAAGAGGGUUCCUGCCAAGGUGAUGUGGUAUGCUCCUAUAAUACCACGGUUGAAACGUCUGUUCAGAAAUAAAGAUCAUGUGAAGUUGUUGCGAUGGCACAUGGAAGAUCGUAUGAAAGACGAUAAGUUGAGGCACACCGCUGAUGGUCGGUAGUGGAGAAAAAUCGAGAGAGAGUUCCCGAGAUUUGCAGCUGACGCAAGAACUUAUGGUUAGGUCUGAGUACAUAUGGCAUGAAUCCUUUUGGGGAGCAGAGUUGCAGUCACAGGACCGUUACUCUAUGUAUCUACAACCUUCCUCCUUGGUUGUGCAUGAAGCGGAAGUUCAUUAUGAUGCCAGUGCUUAUCCAAGGUCCAAAGCAACCCGGCAACGAUAUUGAUGUGUACCUAAGGCCAUUAGUUGAUGAACUUUUACAGCUGUGGGCCGAACCAGGAGUACGUGUGUGGGACGAGCACAAACAAGAGGAACUUGACCUUCGAGCGUUGCUUUUCGUAACCAUCAAUGAUUGGCCUGUUCUUAGUAACAUUUCAGGACAGUCAAACAAGGGAUACAAUGCAUGCACACACUGUUUGGAUCAGACAGAAAGUAUAUAUCUGGACAAAUGUAAGAAGAAUGUGUACCCGUACAAUCGUCGUUUUCUUCCGCCCAAGCAUCCCUUAAAGAAAAAAGGCAAACAUUUCAAUGGCAAGGUAGAACCCCGGGGGAAGCCUGUCAUCCGUACUGGUGCUGAAGUAUUUGAUAUGGUCAAAGAUUUAAAAGUAAUCUUUGGAAAGGGUCCUGGCAGCCAACCUGUUCCUAACGGCCCUGAUAAGCGCGCACCCACGUGGAAGAAGAAAUCUAUUUUUUGGGAGCUACCCUACUGGGAAGUCCAUGAGGUCCGCUCGGCAAUCGACGUGAUGCACCUGACGAAGAAUCUCCGUGUGAAUAUUCUAGGCUUCUUGGGCUUGUAUGGGAAGUCAAAAGAUACGCCGGAAGCACGGGAGGACCAGGAACGUCAUAAAGGAAGAGAUGGCAUGCAUCCAGGGCAGUUUCAAGGGCGUGCCAGCUACGCUCUUACUAAGGAAGAGAAGGAACUCUUCUUUGAAGUCCUUUUCAGUAUCAAGGUCCUGACUGGCUUCUCGUCGAAUAUAAAGGGAAUUGUAAAUAUGAAAGACAAAAAAUUUCAAAACCUAAAGUCUCAUGACUGCCACGUGCUUAUGACGCAAUUGCUUCCGGUUGCAUUGAGGGGAAUUCUACCAGAAAAUGUUCGCCUGGCAAUUGUGAAGGUAUGUGCAUUCCUCAAUGCAAUUUCUCAGAAGGUAAUCGAUCGAGAAAGUCUGUCAGGGUUACAGAUUGAUGUGGUCCAAUGUCUGGUCAACUUUGAGUUGCUGUUCCCACCAUCCUUCUUCAAUAUAAUGACACACCUCCUAGUUCACCUAGUCGAAGAGAUUAGAAUUCNNNNNNNNNNNNNNNNNNNNNNNNNNNNNNNNNNNNNNNNNNNNNNNNNNNNNNNNNNNNNNNNNNNNNNNNNNNNNNNNNNNNNNNNNNNNNNNNNNNNAGUAUGCUUAGGCAAAUUCCUCAACCACUCGUUAUAUUCCUCAAACUGUCAAACUUUUCAUUUUCUUCAAAUCUGAGAACGCAUAUGACCUCUCCAAAUUCCUCGCAACUAUACUCUGUUCACAGGUACACACAUGUCAGCUGAUGAAUCUCUCGGUUCUCAUCACAUUAACUCAUUUGCAGCGCUACUGGAAGAAACUCUUCAAGGCUCAUCAGAAUCCUCAAGAGUUCAAAAUCAUCAGCAAAUUCCUCAUCUGAAGAAAAUGGAGGAAGAAAGGAAACAGAAGGGAGGGAAGAAACUGGAGCAGAACACAGCUGCUGACAUUCCCGAGGACAUAUACUUGGACUAUUGUACGCCUGAUGAUGAACCUGAGACAAUGGCCAAGAGAAAGAUUAGGCUGCAUAAGAUUGAACGCAGAUGGGCGAAGGAAUGGAAGGAGUACAGGUUUGUGACUCCAAAAUAUGCGAAGAAAUUCGCUUUGAAGCCUCCUGGCAGAAGGGCCCCACUUGAGGAUUAUCAAGAAGCACAUCCCUCAAGUCAUAUAAAAAUUGAUGACUACCCAGAUGAGAAAGAAAAGCAUUUGGCCAAGCUUAAGAGGCAAGCAGAAGCUGCCGUGAGGAAAUUCAAUGAAUCCUCAGCUGCUGCCUCCGGUGCUGCUAAUUCCUCAGCAGCAGAAACCUCAGGCUCAGAGAUUCCUCAUACGCAGUCUGUGCAAACAAAGCAAAGGGCUCCAAAGCCUCAAGAGAAGUCUGUUCAGGCUUCUGUCACAAAACCCUCAGCUCCAAAACUCUCAGCUCCAAAACCCGCGGUUCCAAAACCUUCAACACCAAAACCAUCAGCGCCAAAACCCUCAGCACCAAUCUCCUCUGACCCAAAAUCCUUAGCUCCACCUCCAAAGCCUCAAGAAAAACCAGCACAGAAGAAUGUCGUGAAACCUACGACCGCCAGCUCCAGUUCCUCACUCCCAGCUGCAACCAGCUCGGAGACAAAGUCUUCAACACCACCUGUGAAGACUUUGACAACUGCUCAACCUGCACCUCUGUCCAGCCCCAGCAAAAUCAUCGCAGUCCCGUCUGCAUCAGAGGGAAGUGAUGAGUAUGAUGAUGAAACCCUGCAAGCCAUCAUCAGAAACAAGCAAGAACGGGUAGCACAAGCAUCAGGCAGUGCUAUUCCUCUGGCAAUGGACCCCAAGGUCCUCCUCGACUACAUCAAUGUAUGGUAUGAGGACCCAAACACACCCAUUGAUGAUUUGAAACUUCCUCCUGGCAUCAGCCACAUGGUGGCCACCUUCAUAAACGAAGCCAAGUGGAAGGAACAGAAGGCCAAGCAGGCAAGGGUUGCAAAGGCCAAAAAGGAGAAAUUCCUCAGGCAGAAUCUCCUCAAGCUGACUCCUGAUGCACUGGUAUCAACCCAGGCAGAUCUGCAAGUCUUGACUGACAAGUGUGACAAACUAUCAGACCGCAAAAGCAUCAAGCGCAAUUUCAUCAAGCUAGCCACUAGUGCUGUUGAUGAUUACACCAAACGACACCCACCCCCAGCACCAACUCCUCAGCCCCUGGUUGAGCAGCCAGCAGAUACAUCUCCUGAUAAGGAGGAAACUCCUCAAGCCGAGGAAGAACACCAGGAGCGCCGUGCUGAUGAACCGGCCAUUGAAGAAAUCAUCACCGAGACUGCAACUGAUGAAAUUGCAAUCACUGAAGAGACUGCUCCCGAUCCAGCUGCUUCAUCAAAGCAGGCUGAUGACUCUGUUCCAGCUGGUUCCUCACUACCAGCUGAAGAAUCUGCAGAAAGAACACCUUCACCAAAAGCUUCAAAGGUGAAGAAGAUAAUCCCGUCUGCAUCAGACGCAAAAAAGACAAGAGCUGCUGAGAAAGAAGCAAAGAAGAGAAAAGCUUCCUCAGCAGAAGAAAAGAUAGAGGCAAAGCGCCUCAAGGAAACUGAAGAAACUGCUCCACUGGAUCCAGUACCUCAGCCUGAAGCUCAGCCAGAACAAGCAUCAUCUCCCCAGACAGAAAUACCAGCUGAUGAAAUUCCUCAACUUGAGGAAAUUGCUGAAGAAAAUGUACCCGCCCAAGACAAUGAAUUCAUUGUGCUCAACCCAGAGACUGCCAUUGUUGUCUCCUCCUCCAUUCCUCAGCAGAAUAUUAAGCCAGUUCAGCGCCAACCCUUCUCCAAGCAUCCAAAGUUUGAGAAAGAAAAUUUCUUUGAGAAACGCAUGUAUUUCAUCGGAGAGAACCCUUAUGACAAGCCUCAAAUGAGGCAUCUUAAGUUUUGGACAAGGACUCAGAUGAACUACUACGCCUCUGUGCUCUGUGGACGCAACAAGAUAUUCCAGCACCGCCACAUUCCUCAUGUUGAGCUUGAAGCAUUACCUUGCAUGGAACCAGUCCUCAGUGUACUCCAUGAUGCAGGUUUGCUCCCCAUGUGCUCCGACAUCUCCGACUGGAAUAGUGAGCUUAUUCUUCAGUUCUAUGCAACUCUGCACAUCUCUGGCAACGCUGAUGACAUCAACACUUGGGUGUUUGAUUGGAUGACCCAAACCACUCACCACAGGGCUCCUGCUUCUGAACUCCUCAGAGAACUGCCCGUACCAAUUCCUUCAGAUGGGGCAGUGAAGCUUUAUGGUGAGCGUGAGCUGCCAAAUGGAAUGAUGGAAGUCCUCAUGAAGCCUUUGGCUGCAGGAAAACCCUCAAGAACCACAUUCCUCGUCCAUGAGCUCAAGUACACACCCCGGUCUGUCUACAGAAUCCUCUGUAGUGUGCUCGUGCCAAUCAAAGGGCAUGACGAUGAAGAAGAUGUGGUAGGCCUCAUGAAGAAUAUCCUCUUCAACAUCAUUCACGGUAUUCCUAUCAAUAUUCAUGAUUUUUCUUGAGGACUUUGGCUGACAAUGCCAUGUGCCCCUAUGACCACAAGAUUUAUGCCCCAUGGAUCAUGAGAUUCAUCAGGACAAGGACAUGCAUCAACUUCCACGCUGAUUUCCAAAACCAUGUUGGUUAUAUGCCUCCUAUCCGGGUCAACAAGAAGACUUUCGAGCCCAUUGAGGGAAAAGGAAAAUCUGUGAUUGACGAAGGCAGCAGGCCCCUUGAUGGUCAGUUCAAAGAGCCAGAUGCAUAUUCUUCAUGGGACGAUACUGAGACUCGUCCACCAAGCCCUGUUCCUCCUCGAGUGCUAACCACCAGAGAGCUUCUCCUCAGUCUUCAUCAGAAGGUGGAUCACAACCACAAAUGGGUCAAACGCCAGUUUGGUGCCAUUUUGAAAACCCUCACUGAAACCCAGAACUCUGUGAAGAUUAAUCAUCACUAUCUGCAUGAGGUUUUUGAUCGCACCUGGGCUACCCUUGCACAUCUCAAGACCCAGACUGAGCUUGAAGAAAUGAACUUUGAACAUGACUUUGACUGGUCGUGGCCUCCCAAGAAGAAGUUCAUGCCCAUUCCAGUGCCAGAUCUUGAAGACAGCUCCUUUUCUUCAUUCCGCACCGCCGAAUCUGAUGAGGAACAACUCGACACAACAACCGGCCCAAGGAAGAAGACUACACCCAAGAAGCGUCAAGGAUCUUCAUCAACCGCCAAGAAAUGAAGUCUUCGCGGGCGUUAGUCCUUAGUUUGUCCCUUUUUGUCACUUGAUGACAAAGGGGGAGAAACUCGAGAGUUAGUCCUCAAACGGGAUAUUUUGGGGCUUAUGAACUAUAUUAAGUUACAAACUCUUGGCUCUUUUGAAGUUUUUAUGUAAUGAGUUGUAACUUAAGCCCGAUGGUACUCUGACGCUUUUGAACGUUUUCUUCGCAUGCUUAUUCCUCAAGUUUUAAUGCACGCAUGCUGAAAUUCAUCAGAUACCAUUUGCCAUCAUGCAUUUUCAUUUUCUUCAAAUGAUAUGUUAUAUGUAUGCAUGAUUUACAAGACUCAGGGGGAGAUCUCCAUGAUAUAAAUCAUCAAUGUGCAUUUGCUGUGAAAAGAAAAAUCCUCAAGGUAUGCACAUCUUCAGGGGGAGUCUCUCUGAAUCUUGUUUUCAAAUUCCUCAAAUGAGUAUUUACACUCCACAUUUUUAUUCCCUGUUGAAGACUUAACCUAAUUGUCAUCAACCACCAAAAAGGGGGAGAUUGUAAGUGCAUCUAGUGCCCCUUAGUGAUUUUGGUGGUUUGAAGACUUAUAGGUUAAGUAUCUAAUGUGUUUGUGAGUGUACACAGGAUCUAUAAGUCAUCGAGGAGUUUGAGAUAUUUGAAGAAUAUCGACCCCUAAAAAUACAUGUCUUCAGUUGAAGAAAUUGGUCUGAAGCUGAAGAAAUGAAUCGUGAGGAAUCUGCGAUGAAAUUGAUAUUCCUCAUGAAGAUAUUGAUAUUGAGAAGAUCGGUGGUUCCUGAAGAAAAUCGUUCUGAAGAAAUUGAAGCGUGAAGAUUUACGUUUUCUGUUUUACUUUCUUCCCAUUUGAUGAAUAGGAACACCAUACUGUUAAAGGGGGUCAAAGUAACACUAUGGAAUGAAUUUCCUCAUGAUGCUCAACCCAAGCCUAAUCCUACCAAAAGCCUCAAGUGAGGAAUAUGAGUGACAUGAGGACUCUCGCAGUUGAGGGUCCCGACCGUUUCGAUAACCACGCCAAGUCAUUGGUCUUAUCCACUCCAAUGGUCAUAUUAUUUAAGGGCAAUAGUGUCAAAUCAUGUCGGGAUGCUCCCAGGCUAUAAAUAGCCACCCCCACAACCACUAGCUGGUUGGCUGCUCCGUUAGAAACUGACACUUGUCAUAAGAGCAACCCAAAUUCCUCAGAGCUUUCUAGAGUAAAUCAUCAGUGAGGAAAUACACCACCCACCGAAACCACAAACCAAACCUAGUGAUUGAGCAUCACUGAAGAAGUUGUUCCUGUGUGGGACUGAAGCCUUUUACCUCUGAGGACUGUGCAUCCUCCAGACGGUUUGGCUCAUGGUCUAGAGCAAUCCAGCAGUCAAUUGUGGAUUGCCGGGUGACCGAGUUUGUGAGGGUUUGGAAGUCUGCCCUGAAGACUUACCACGAGUGUUGGGCGAGGACUGUGUGUCCUUAGCUCAAGGAGAAUACGGUAGGGACUGUGUGUCCCGGGACUGGGUGUCCUUUGGUUUCAAUACCAAGCCGCUCCAAACCAGAUGUACAACUGUCACAGCAGUUGGAACUGGGUCAUCAACAACAGUCUUCACCAAGAAUCGGGUUCUAAUUCCUCAACUCUUUACUUUCUCUGUAUUAUGUGUUGAUGACUUUCACUGUGGUUGUUUAAAGAAUUUGCUAAAGACUUUCUCUGAAUUUCCUCAACCCCAAAUUCUUCACUAUAGUUAAUCAUCAUUUGUUUUCUGUGUGCCUGCUUACUGUGCAAUCUGUUUUCACAUUCUUCACUCUGUAAUACUGCUAUUGUGAACGUUGGCACGUCUGAUCCGUAACUGCUUCCGCUGUAAGUUAGUCAUCAGUGAGGAAUUUCCUCAGCGAUGAAAUUCUAAAAAUCUCCUAUUCACCCCCCUCUAGUCGAUAUAACGCACUUUCAGGCCUUUUGACAAUCCAUUUAUUUUCAAGUCCAAUUUUCAAAUGGUAACAACUGUCAGAUUUUUCUAGGCAUAUGUUCCAAUUGUUAGGUUUUGAUAUUUUUUUACAGCUUAUUGAUAAGAAAUAUAUCAUAUAGAAAGGAGAGAAAAAACAUAUGAAAAUCUUCAAAUAGCCUCAUUCACAUUCUAGUUUAUUACAAUAUUCUAGUGAGAACAGAACAAAACACUGAAACUACAUACACUCAUUCACAUUACAAUAGCCAGUUUAACCAACAAAUCUUGCAUACCCAGGAACUUCAAACUUCACUUGGAUAACCAAACAAUAUUCCACACAAUAAAAAAUAUUGCAAUCUACAAAUAAAACGCUCUGCAAGUGUAAAAGAUGACUACUCUUGGAUACCAUGGAACAUGCUCUUCGACAUGGAAAGAAGUCAUCAACGAUGUUCUACCAACGGACGUUCCAUUCACCUACAAGAACAGAACGGAAUAUCAAGUACUUGCAUUGUUCCAGCAGAUUACAACCAACAUAUAUAUGUAGAAGUACAUCAGGAAAUAUGAUGGAGCAAAUCGGACAACAAAUACAUUAAGUAGACAGCCCAACUGAUGGUUGAUGACGACAAGCAAAAAGUAUACACCCAGGUUUGCAUCCAAACAACAUUUAGAGCUAGAAUGAUAACUAAUAGACUAUAAGCAUACAAAAGGAAAUAUAAUUUCAGCAAAAUUAAAACCGAUGAUGAAAACUAAAUAAUAGUGCAGCAGAUUAGCUCUUAGAAUGAAGGAACAUCAUCAAAUUAAACAAGACAGUUGUUCAUGUUUCUAUACAACUAUUCAUGAUUACAGUUUGUUAUUGUCGUCCAAAUUCUCCAACAUGUACAAAAUUAAUUAAUACAUCUGAAUGAACAAACAUGACGCCAUGAAGCAUCAGGCCAGCCAUGAUUUACAUAUUUUCCAAUGAACAAACAUGAUACAUGCAUCAAGCAUUAGGCCAUUAAGCAUCUGUCCCAUAUUUGUUCAACAGGACGAGUACAUACCUGAAUUUGGGUCGAUGCGAUGGAUGAGGCUGCAGUUGAACAUCUGGUCUAGGGAUGAGCCUGCUAAUCCAAAUCGAACAAACAAAUUCAUUAGGAGGGGCUUGGAGAGACAAGGAAGAAAUGAAGUAAACAUACGUACAUGUCUAUAUAUAAGCAGCAGAAGCAAGUAAUAUAAAUAUAUCCUCUUUCUUCCUCUACAACACUAAAUAGAGCAACACCAAUCAUUGUACACAAGGAGCAGCAACGGCAAGCCGAUAAAGAAAGCUCAGGAUUUGUGUCUUUUGCAAGUUUUAGCACACUAGUACAUGUGUUAAAAUGAAAGUGUCCCUGCUGGGUUAUAUUAAUAAAUAAUCCAAGUGUUGAAACAGUCAACAAAAUAAAAAAAAUCUAUACACACGCACAGAACACAACACACCUGGUUGCUUGCAAGGCUAUUUUUUGUUGGCCAGACUGCUUGCAUCCAAGAAUGAAAAAGGAAUUCGUUCGUUUGUAGGCUGUUGUAUAUAAGGUGCAAAUGAAACAUAAUGUGAUGGAUGCUGACUGCCUACGUGCACAAUGGGUGCCGGCAACGGAUGCCGCUGCCGUCCGCCUGCCUACUACUGCUGUACCUAGCUGCUGCUAUUGCUGCUGCAAAUGGGGGGUUGAGCCGCAGGCGUAGCACAGCAGGCCAGGGAAGUGUGUAGCUGUUCCUGAUGGAAAUUUUGCAAUCACAAGAGAAACAAAACAUAAUAGGCAAGCAGUGUGUAUAAUCCAUGGACGACACAUAAAAACAACCAUCUGCUUCGGCGGGACUCAGUAGUACUUAAGUCUAAAAUUCAAUCAGUCAUCUGGAGCUGGCACGAAAGGGACAAAGCGAGCAUGAGAACAGAAUUCGCCCUAAUUAAAGGUGCCCGUACGCUACUACUGAAGAAAAAAGAAACAAACAGAAACCAUUUGACUGAAUUAGAGGUGCAGAUAGUUGAUCUUUGAAUUUAGAAAUUACCUGUAAACAUAACUCGUCAAUACAAUACACAAGAAAUUGCAAGUAAACAUAAUUUUCGAUGGUCCGUACAAAAAGAUAUUAGCACUAAACUGAAUUUAUAAAGACAAUAAUGAGCAAGUUUCAUCAGCUAACUCUAAGUGCUUGUGCGACCAAAGAGAACUAUAGCAGGAGAAUUUUUUAUGCUAACUAUAAAGAUAUGCAUCGAUCAGUACAAACAAAAGAAGUAUAACUACCAACAAACAACACAUAUCGCUGAAAGCAGUACCAAGUAACCGACAACAAGCUCUCAAACAGGCAAUGCUAGGCACAAUUGCUAGUAAUACAUGUUAUUUUUGCAAAGUGGUUUAGUGCUAUGAUAUUUUUCUACACGUACUCUCGGAUUUUUCUUAGUCAUAUACUGAUCUGCUCACUCCAGUUCUAUCUACUCACCAUAUUCACAUGCAACGUAAGGAACUAGUGUAGAAAACCACUCAACCGCAUUCACAGCAACGAACAAGGUAGAUGGAUAUAUGCGUGCAUUGGUCACCUCGCGUCCCUGACCUGCGCGAACUUGAUGAAGAAGACGUCGGUGUAGUUCUCACAGUCCUCGGUGUCCAUGGGCUUGCACCUGAACCCAAACAAACGCACGCACACACAGAGAGACACGGAAAGAAAGAAAAAUGGUGAGCACUGAACAUUAGCAGGGAGAAGAAGAUGCGGAUUCAGGUCGCUUCUAUCGGUUCACUCUUCCAGGGGGGCGUACGCCAAGAACGUGGAGCCGAGCUCGUCGCCGCAAUCGAGUGUCGGCACGUUCCAGACGACGAGGUACCUGCGGUCGAAUCGGUGUUCGGGAUAAGACGCAAGGAGGGGUUAGCGGCGGUGAUGCGGAGGAGGAGAGGCUGCGCUAGGGUUGAGGAGUGGUGGUUACUUGGACUCGUCAUAGACCCAUCCUGCAGCAUCGGCAUGUCCUUGACGCUGACCAUCCCCGGCAUGUUCCGCACAAUAGACUCCGUCAUCUUGGCUCCGAUCCGGAAAUCUCACCACCAGAGGGGGACGAAGCGGCCGCAGAUCUGGUGCUCCGGCGAGAGGCCAAGCGAUUUGGAGUGGAGAUAUCGCUAGGCUUAGUGGCGGGUCGGAGCGAUUUGGAGGAAGAAGUAGGAGGGGAGAGGCUUACCGGUGCCAGAUCCGACCACCUCUGGCCUCGCCGUCACCGGAUGUGUGAGAUCGAUCCCGGGGGUGUGCUGCGCACCGGUGAGAGCGGCGUCAACUCGCCAGAAUCAAGCGGCGCCAGUGACGGCGGCAGAGGAGUCGCAGGAGGGGGACAUAGAGAGGGCUCGCGGGGGAGAACGGGGAUAGUGGUUUUGUUUAGAUUAGGUCGAACGAUAUACAUUGGAUCUGCAUGGUGUGGACGGUCUAGAUUCGCUAGAGCGGGGUGAUCCGUGGGAGGGUGUUUUCAACCUCCUGAUUGGUUCAAGAUAUGUGUAAUUGAAAAUGGUUUUUAGUGCUAUAAAAACAAGGAAUUUUUUAAAGAAACAAUGAAAAAUAUUUUACAAAAUGACACCAUGCUAUAGUUUUUUCAAAUGUUCCCACAUUGUUCCCAAAUGAAAAAAUAUUUUACAUAAUGACCGCAUUUUCAAAUGGGGAUGCAAAAUUCAAAAAAAUUCAAAAAACUGUAAAACCUUCGCAUUGUGUCACUUUAUGUGACCUAGUUAUCAGGAAAAACAAUAAACUUGAAUACGACAAUUAUUUUUAAAAAGUGUUCUAAAAAGUGAGCUAUCACUUAUGAAGAUUCAUAGCUUUCAAGCGAGAUGAUCGAUCUUAUGGCCACAUUCAUGGCAUAGUUUGUUCAAAUGAUCUCAUAUUGCACACAAGGUUGCAUAUUGGAAUGGCCAACAAUGUUGCUUAAGGAAGUUUUCAUUUCCCUUGUAUGAAAAAUUCAUUUUCCAUUUUUCAAGUGUCUAAAAUAAGUUUUUUGUGAAGGACCUACCAUAUAUUUAUUGCCAAAUUGAACCAAAUCAUUUUUCUAAAAUUCUUUGCCAUAUUUAAUGUACAAUUGACCAAAUAUUUGGGUGUUAAAAAGUUUUUAUCCACCUGUCGUGAAAAAGACAAAUUUCCCCGGAUUCAGUAGGAAGCGGGUCAAAUUUGAACUGCAACUCCCUCAUAGUUUGCUCUUUAUUUUUCCCAAAAAUCAUUUGUAGGUAGAUAUGUAUCUAUUUAAUCAUAGAAAAACCAAAAUGUUUCCAAUAUUCAACAACUAGCUAGGAAUGGAAAACAACGGUGCAUCUUGGAAUGGAAAACAACGUUGUAGGUAGAUAUUUUUGUAGGUAGAUAUGUAUCUUGCUAUUUAAUCAUUUGUAGGUAGAUAUGUAUCUAUUUAUUAAAAUGACCUCAUAUUGUGCACAACGGUGCAUCUUGGAAUGGAAAACAACGUUGUCUAAGGAAGUUUUCAUUUUCUUUGGACGGAAAAUUCAUUUUCUACAUUUCGAAUGCCAAAAAUGAGUUUUUUUUGUGAAAGACCUACGAUAUUUUUAUUUGCAAAAUUGGAUCAAAUUAUUUUUGUAAAAUAUCAUAUCAUAUUUAAUGUACAAUUGACAAAAUGGUUGGGAGUAAAAAUCAUUGAGACACCUCUCGUGAAAAAGAAAAAUUUCCCUUGAUUCAAUAGGAAACGGGUCAAAUUUAAACUGCAGGUGCAUUACAGUUUGCUACUUAUUUUUCCAAAAAAUCAUUCAUAGGUACAUAAGUAUCCAUUUAAUCAGAGAUACAUGGUGUGGUGGUAGUACGUCGAGGUUUGGAUGGUGUCUGAGGGCCCCAACUUCAGAGCACGCAAACCGGCAUGCCAACCGCGUGGUCACCCUAAAAGAGCUUCUAUUUCUUCAAAGCAUCUCACUAUAUCCCCUUUUUAUCCGACAUAUACUUAUAAGAUGGAGGCACUGAUGGAAUAAAUCGAAAACAACACCAUUAAUGUACUAAUAAAAGUAACAAAAUGCAUCGAAAUAGGGGUACUAUGCCAGAAGGAGGCCUCCUCUGAACGGCCUUCUACAAUAGAUAUAAAGAGCAAAGCUAUUCUUUAAAUGGAUUCAUAUUUGCUUGGACCGUAUUACUAGACCCGUUCCUUUAUUAAAUAUAUUCAUUUGAAGAAUGGCUUACGGUGUUUGAUUGUGGUAUUAUUGUUAGACGAUAGGCUUAUACCAUGUAAUGUGACUUGUAUAUUAGACUAGACUCUAGAGUGACAUGCCGGUUGUUGAGAAACCUGUACCGGCUGUCCUUAUGAACCGCGACAAUCAAAUAGUGAUCAAGAAAGUAAGAAGCUGAAAGGAUAACAUAAAAUCAUCAAGACACGUCCAGAGAAGGUUAAAAUCUGACUAGAAAAUGAGAAACUCUGUAGUUAUUGCAUUGGAUUAUAUCCAAAAAUCGCAAAAUCUGACAGAUCCUUUUAGUAAGGGUCUAUCACGUAAUGUGACAGAUAAUGCAUCAAAGGAGAUGGGUAUGAGACCCACAAUAUGAGUUGUUCACAGUAGUAACCUAUUCCUUAUGAUCGGAGAUCCUGUGAAUUAGAUGUGGAAGACAAGUUGUUGGUCAACUGAGAGGAAAGUAUCCUUAUCGUUGAUAAUACCACUCCAUGAAGAUGCAUGACUCAUUAGGGGUACUUUCCUAAACUGCAUGGCAGGUUGAUAUACAUCAUAAUAUGUUCUAAGUGGCUUAUUGAAGCAAAGAUGUGGUCCUUCAGAACAUCUUUUGAAGAACACACCUAUAUGACUCUGAUCGUUAACGUCGCAAUCUAUGGGAGUAGGGUGCUCUCUAGUAAACUCAUGAAUGGUCUUGGAGUAUGACACAUAAGCUCCACCUGCAGGGAAGUCCCACGGUAGCCUAGUAUCGGUCAAGUCUCUUUGUGAAGCUAGAUUCGCAGAAUACUUGUUGUUCAAGGCCUAGUCCACUUUUCAAGUUGCUUACUAGUGUAGCAUAUCUGUGAGAAGUCAAUUAAGAGAAUGUAGAUAAGAGGGGAAGAUCUUAGCAUCGAUAUCUGGUAGUGACAAAACAAUUAAGAGAAUGUAUAUAAUGAGACUUAUCAGGGCUACAGCACACACGUGUGAUCGAGCUAAAACAACCCGAUCAGACAAGCUGUUUCAUUGAUUUGUUUCUUACAUCAUCAGUUUAACUAGCGAUAGUACUUGUUAAAUUCGUCGCCACGGCAAUUUGAAUGGUUUGGAAAUUUAGUCAUUCAUGGAAGACUCUAAGGCUAGCUUGCUGCUCGUACCAUUUAUUCAUUGUUUUGUUGAUUAAAUCUGAUUGACAAGAACUAGCUAGUCGAUCGGUCGUGCAUGCAUGUGAGUGAGGUGAGUUGAGGCCCAUAUAUAAGACCGACAGAGCGACCAUGUUUGGUUUCAUGCAUCCAACUUAUCAGCACCAAAUGCAUGGCAUGCACAUGGACAAGAAGAGUGAAGUGGUAAGGAUAUAUUAAUACAAUUAGUCUAAUCUGCUAGAGAAGAGCAAUGUGGCGCUGUGCCGCAAGGCCGGUAACAUACAACAUCGAAGAAGCGCUCUAGAGUUUCAAGUGAAGCAUAGUUGAAUGAGUCAACCAUGCACAAUAAUCAACUAGAAGAAUGACAAGUACGUAGUACAAUUUAUUUCACGAUAUGAAUAAACAUAUCGUGAUGGGUCCAUGAGGUUCCCUAUAUCCGGAUUGUUACAAGUGCUCGAUCAGGCGAAAUAAAGUCGCCAAAAGAAACAAGUAAAAAUGAAACAAAAACUAGUGCACGUACAAUGUGCAUUCGUGACAAUGAAAUUAUGAGAAACAAUAGAAUAUAAUUUGGUGUGUGUGGCAGGAGGGGGGGGGUAUGUUAUUUGGCGCAGACGAUGGUGUAUGCUUCUAAAUAUUAAUGAGAUGCAACUUACGGAAUUGGCCGGCUAGCCUCCGUGAAGCUAUCCUCCAUCUUCUUGAACUUCUCAGCGGGUGCUGCGGCAGUAACUAUCUUAGCGGCUAUCUUGUAGGCCAAUAGAUGUGUAUCAAAUUUCGCCUUGUCUCCCUUGGCCUUCUUCAUCGUGUCCAUAGCGAGGAGUUCCUGCUUUGCAACAGCCCCGGCUACUUUGAUCCUUUCGGAUGGUGGGGCGGCGGCGAGGACCCCGUCUAGGGCCGUCUUGAUGAUGGGUGUUAGCUCAGCCAAGGCGGCCUCCUCGGACUUGACGAUGGCGGCGCUUGCAAGCAUUGGUAAUGAUGCGAUUUCCACCAUGACGAUGAGAAGGGUUAGUGCCACCGCAAUGUUCUGGAGUGGGGCCAUUGCUCUUGUUGGCCUAACAGGUUGCUGAGAGGAAUGACUCACCAGGAUUUCAGUGAGAUUGAUGUUUUCACCGUGGAGGUCUAUAAAGGUGGUCCUUGCUUUAAAUAGGUG